rnacentral:rRNA from 1 species
CCUACGGGGCGCUGCAGUGGGGAAUUUUGCGCAAUGCUCGUAAGAGUGACGCAGCGACGCCGCGUGAAUGACGAAGGCCUUCGGGUCGUAAAGUUCUUUUGCACGGGGAUAACACCCUCCACUUGUGGAGGUCUGCAGGUACCGUGCGAAUAAGGGCCGGCUAAUUCCGUGCCAGCAGCCGCGGUAAUACGGAAGGCCCGAGCGUUAUCCGGAUUCAUUGGGCUUAAAGGGAGCGUAGGCGGGCGUUCAAGUCAGCUGUAAAAUCGCGCGGCUCAACCGCGCCCCGCAGUUGAAACUGGACGCCUUGAGUUCACAACAGGCAGGCGGAAUUCGUGGUGUAGCGGUGAAAUGCAUAGAUAUCACGAGGAACCCCGAUUGCGAAGGCAGCCUGCCGGGGUGCGACUGACGCUGAGGCUCGAAGGUGCGGGUAUCAAACAGGAUUAGAUACCCGGGUAGUC